UACGUAGGGUGCAAGCGUUGUCCGGAAUUAUUGGGCGUAAAGAGCUCGUAGGCGGUCUGUCGCGUCGGCUGUGAAAACCCGGGGCUCAACCCCGGGCCUGCAGUCGAUACGGGCAGACUAGAGUGCGGUAGGGGAGACUGGAAUCCCUGGUGUAGCGGUGAAAUGCGCAGAUAUCAGGAGGAACACCGGUGGCGAAGGCGGGUCUCUGGGCCGUAACUGACGCUGAGGAGCGAAAGCGUGGGGAGCGAACAGG
rnacentral:rRNA from 1 species